AUUGAACGCUGGCGGCAGGCCUAACACAUGCAAGUCGAACGAGUGGCGGACGGGUGAGUAAUGUCUGGGAAACCUCCUCAUGGGAGGGGAUACUCCGGUAAACGGUAGCUAAUACCGCAUACCACCAGAUGUACCCUAAUGGGAUGGGCUGGUUGGGGGGGUAACGGCUCACAAAGGGGAGGAACCCUAGCUGGUCUGGGAGGUGGACCAGCCAAACUGGAACUGAGACACGGUCCAGACGCCUACGGGAGGCAGAAGGGGGGAAUAUUGCACAAUGGGCGAAGGCUGGAUGCAGCCAUGCCGCGGGUAUGAAGAAGGCCUUCGGUUUGUAAAGUACUUUCAGCGGGGAGGCGUUACCCGCAGAAGAAGCAACGGCUAACUCCGUGCCAGCAGCCGCGGUAAUUC
rnacentral:rRNA from 1 species